UGCUGACCUCACCAGCGUGGUUUCUUCUGUUGUGUGUGUGUUUUUGUUUUGCUGUGAUGCCGAUGACUUGCGGUUUGCCUCACACUUUGUAGUGUGCGUGGCAGUCGUAUAAGAAAACAGCAAAUUUGUCAGUUAGGCUUGUUAUUUAUUACAGGAACCAUGGGGAUGCCAGGCAGCCAGGCUGGCCCCUCCGCCCGCCACCUACCCCACGGUUGAAGGGGCUGCACUGGCCGGGGAUGCCAGACCAAGGGCCCAGAGAAGAGGCACGGCUUCCGAGGGUGAGGAACAGCGAGGUCCUGGCAGCUGCCUCUCUUCGAACACAAUGUUGAGGAGAUGCUUUUUGUUUUUGUUUUUAAAAUUCAUUUCCAUUGGUUUUUGGGGAACAGGUGGGGUUUGAUUACGUAAGUUCUUUGGUGGUGAUUUGUGAGAUUUUGGCGCACCCAUCACCCGAGCAGUAUCCACUGCACCUAAUUCGUAGUCAUUUAUCCCUCACCCUCUUCCCACCCUUCCCCACCGAGUCCCCAGAGUCCACUGUAUCCUUCUCAAGCCUUUGCAUGGGAGGAUGCUUUUAACUGGUAAAAGGCAAUAGUAGAAGUAACAGCCCGAGGGCUCUCCGUGGCCAGUGCCUCCCGAGAUCUCGAGGGCACCCCUUCUCCCGCCUCCCCUCCCACCUCCACCUAGGCCACACGGGCCAUGCCGGCCCCAGAGCUCCCGUGCCACGGGCAAAACACAGCUGUGUCUCAAAACCCUACGCCCAAAGUGCCUUCUCCCAGGCUUCCUUCCAGCUCAUCCGCCACCUUUCUCUGCACUUGGCCCAGACGUCGUCUUUCAAGUCCGGCCUCCCCUAGACCUCGGCUUCUAAAAUUGCAAAGCACCCGCACUCCAACAGGCCUCCGUGCCUGGCUCUCCUCUACACCUUCGUCCCCACCUGCGUUACUGAUCUCUGUGACUUACUGGCUUCUUCCCCCGAGGAGGGCAUGAGCUGCACGACAAUGGCUUUGUAUCUGUGAGAAGCUCUAAUCGUAUUUGCUGUUUAUUGUGGGCUGGGUUGCAUCCCCCCAAACUCACACGUCGAAGUCCAACCCCCAGGAUGUCAUAAUGUGACUGUGUUUGGAGAUAGGGCAUUUAUGGAGGUAAUUAAGGUAGAAUGAGGUCACCAGCAUGGGAGCUAAUCCAGUAGGACUGGUGUCUCCGUAAUAAGAGGAGAUGAGGACACAGACACGCACGGAGGGCGACCUUGUGAGGACACAGAGAGAAGACAGCUCUUACAAGCCAAAAAGAGAGGGCUUGGAGGAAGCAGUCCUGCCGGCACCUUGAUCUCAGACUUCCGGCUUCCAGAACUGUUAGAAAAUAAAUCUCUGUCAUUUAAGCCACCCGGUCUGUGGCACUUUAUGUUCAAUAAAUACCUAUCAGAUGAAUAAAUGAAUCAAUGAGCCAGGUGUGGUGGUCCACGCUUGUAAUCCAAGCACUUUGGGAGGCUGAGGUGGGCGGAUUACCUGAGGUCAGGAGUUCGAGACCAGCCUGGCCAACUUGGGGAAACCCCCACCUCUACUAAAAAUACAAAAAUCAGCUGGAUGUAGUGGCGAGAGCCUGUAAUCCCAGCUACUCAGGAGGCUGAGGCAGGAGAAUUGCUUGAACCUGGGACGCAGAGGUUGCAGUGAGCUGAGAUUGUGCCACUGUACUCCAGCCUGAACAACAGAGUGAGACUGUCAAAAAGAGAGAGAGAGAAAGAAAGAUUGAGAGAAGAAAGAUAGAAAGAAAGGAAAGAAAGAAAGGUAAAGAGAAAGAAAAGAAAGAGAGAAAGAGAAAGAAAGAAGAGAGAGAGGAAGGAAGGAAGGAAGAAAGGAAGGAAGGAAACUAGAACUUAUCAGACACUUCACAAGUGGGGAACCGUUCCUAGCUGAGGCUUGGUGGACUUGGGAGGAUAUUAGUAAUGCAGAUGUUUUGCUCCUAAGACUCCAAGACUGUUUUGCUCCUUCAUUCUUUGCACACAAUUCCGUGGCCAUUCUACUCAUUUUUUUGAGGAUAAAUGAUCUCAGUGGUGAAAUAUUGUCAUGGGUGAGCAGCGACUAUCUGGGGCCAGCGGCUCAGGGUAAAGACAAUUGUAGGUUAAGAAAGGCAGAUUUAGGCCAGGUGCAGUGGCUCAUGCCUGUAAUCCCAACACUUUGGGAGGCCGAGGCAGGCGGAUCAGGAGGUCCUUGAGGUAAGGCCAUCCUGGCCAACAUGGUGAAAACCCGUCUCUACGAAAAAUACAAAAAUUAGAUGGACGUGGUGAAACGCACCUGUAGUCCCAGCUACUUGGGAGGCUGAGGCAAAAUUUCAUCUCAAAAAUAAAAAAAAAAGGCAAAUUAGAGAAAGUAGGAAAAUACACAGCAAGGAGGCAACAGGCAGGCCAGCAAGAGAGGAGCUGACUGCAAGGAGACAAAGGCUUGCUGGGGACUUGAUAGGAUGGUGCUUGUGCUGUGUGCUGGAGAGAGCGACGUGCAGUACUGACAACACCGAGGCCGCGGUGUGCUGGAGAGAGCGACGUGCAGUGCUGACGACGCCGAGGCUGCAGUGUGCUAACUUGCAUUUUUCUAUCAGCCAAGGGUCUAAUGACAGCUGGACACAGGAAGAUUGUGAGUUACUUGUGCAGCAGGACUACGUGUUCUGGAUCACGAAGACAGGCAGACUUGGAGCUUCUCUGCCUUCUCUUUUUGCUUUCCCUGGGUCCUGCCAGCCUGACUCCUCAUUCCUAAUUAGGACUCCGGGAAUCUCAACCAGCCAUCAAGUGUUAGAUUCUGAGCACCUGUGCAGGGCUGCAGGUGACAGUCGAUAAUGAGGCUCAUCUUCCUCACCGCCGUGUCUUUCUAACCGUUUGGCCUUCUUCUGAUGGUGGCUGCAACCUCAUCAAUGGCCAGCAUGGAACUAACCCAUUGGGUUAUGUUUUCAUUCCUGUUUUUCUUUACUUUGCUUAAGCAGGAAGUGCAACUGGAUCGGGGAGCCUCUCCGGGGCUCUUUUUAAUUCAUCUCUGCGAUUCUUCAAAUGGUAGGUUGUUAAACCAUGAAGCCAACAGACACCUGGCUGCUUACUGGAUUCAAGGCACUGGGAUGCUUCACUGAAAAUGCCAGUUCAGGGCCCCUCCUCUCCAGGAGCCAAAAUUCUGGAGUGGGGCUGGGAGACCAGAAAGAAACAAAUUAAACCAGCACUCACCGCUAAAAACAAGCAUUGCAAGCAGUAGUGCAAUUAGAUCAAAACACACAAAUCAAAGAUGGCUCAAGGGCUUUCCAGUGUUGAGAAGGGCUG
rnacentral:lncRNA from 1 species